rnacentral:rRNA from 1 species
AUUGAACGCUGGCGGCAUGCUUUACACAUGCAAGUCGAACGGACUUAGGUGCUUGCACCUAGGUUAGUGGCGAACGGGUGAGUAAUGCAUCGGAACGUACCGUGUAAUGGGGGAUAACGCAGCGAAAGUUGUGCUAAUACCGCAUACGAUCUACGGAUGAAAGCAGGGGAUCGCAAGACCUUGCGUUAUACGAGCGGCCGAUGUCGGAUUAGCUAGUUGGUAGGGUAAAGGCCUACCAAGGCAACGAUCCGUAGCGGGUCUGAGAGGAUGAUCCGCCACACUGGGACUGAGACACGGCCCAGACUCCUACGGGAGGCAGCAGUGGGGAAUUUUGGACAAUGGGCGCAAGCCUGAUCCAGCCAUGCCGCGUGAGUGAAGAAGGCCU